AUGGAAGGGCCAUCGCUCAACGGAUAAAAGGUACUCCGGGGAUAACAGGCUGAUACCGCCCAAGAGUUCACAUCGACGGCGGUGUUUGGCACCUCGAUGUCGGCUCAUCUCAUCCUGGGGCUGAAGCAGGUCCCAAGGGUUUGGCUGUUCGCCAAUUAAAGAGGUACGCGAGCUGGGUUCAGAACGUCGUGAGACAGUUUGGAUUUUAUCUUCCGUGGGCGCAGGAAAAUUGAAAGGAUCUGUCCCUAGUACGAGAGGACCGGGAUGGACGAACCUCUGGUGAACCUGUUGUCACGCCAGUGGCACGGCAGGGUAGCUAUGUUCGGAAUGGAUAACCGCUGAAAGCAUCUAAGUGGGAAGCCAACCUUAAGAUUAGUUUUCCCAGUCUUUAAGACUGUUAAGACCGCUCCGAGACUAGGAGCUUGAUAGGCAGGGCGUGUAAGCAUAGUAAUGUGUUUAGCUUACCUGUACUAAUAGGUCGUCCGAUUUUCAUUC
rnacentral:rRNA from 1 species